AACGCAAGUUGCGCCCGAAGCCAUUAGGCCGAGGGCACGUCUGGCUGGGUGUCACGCAACGUCGCCCCAACCCCCACGCCCAUCGUAGGGCGUCGGGGGGCGGGGGCGGAUGAUGGCCUCCCGUGAGCCAGGCCUCGCGGAUGGCCGAAAUAAGAGUUCGCGAUGUGGCGAGCACCACGGCGCACGGUAGUUGUUGAGUAACAACGCUCGAGCCCAGUCGUGCGUGCUCUGCCCUCGUGGCGAGCUCAGAGACCCUGUCGCGUCUCAAGACGCUUCCGAUGCGACCUCAGCUCAGGCGGGGCUACCCGCUGAGUUUAA
rnacentral:misc_RNA from 1 species